GGGGGUUUCUGGGGGAGGGAAAUAUUGCCUUUGGGGCCGAAAUCGUCCCGUUGAAGGCCGGGGGGGGGGGGGUGCAGUGGAGGAGGCAGGACCCAAAGGAAGGGGGAGGGGGGAGCAGCAGGGAAUUGGGAGAAGAGCCCCUUCCCCCCCAAGCUCACACUGCCCCCCCCCGUUGCCUGAAAGACCCUCUUAGUGCAAAACAAAGAAGCCCCCACAGACGAGAAGAGCCGGGAAAUGAAGCCCUUCCUGCAAGAGACCUGAGUAGGAAAGGGACCUUCCCUCUGCUUUAGGCUCUCGGGAGGAGGGGGCUGGUGGGUCGAGGCUGGGGGGGGCAGGAGAUUUGGGGGGAGCCCACCCCAUUCAUCUGCCCAUUCCUCUGCUUCCUGGCAGCCUGGCCCUGUCUUCUCUCUCCCCCUCCUCUCUUUUGAACGGUCCUGGUCCUCUAAGUUGGGGGCACUUUUCUACUCCCCUGGGUGGGGCCGAGGGGCAGGGGUCUUCACGCCCCCUUGCAGGAGGCAGUUGACCCGGAUUUGCUGGCUCCCUCCAGGGUCAGGGGUGCUGGGUGCUGGAGGGAAGAAGAACGUGAAGCUCCCCCACCCCCAUCCAGCGUGCCUAGAAGACAGCAGUCUCUGGCCUGAUUCACGCAAGCAGAGACAGUGGGUACAGCCUUCCUCCUUGCAGUGCUGGCUUUCUAUCUGCGGGGAUUCUUCCAUGAUGCAAAGAAACCUUAUUAGUUCCCAAUGAGUUCAGAGCCUUCAUCUCCCUCCUUGAGCCAGACGGUCCAGUGUGAGCUCUUCCUUUGUGGCUCUGGACAUUGUGUGUCAUUUGACAGUAGAUCUGGAGUGAUCCAAUGGAAAAAACAGAGAGGAUCUGUGAGCAUCCAAGAUCCGGAGCUCUGCUUUUGCGUCAUGGGGGUGCCACAAAGCUGUGGCUGCCUGAUUUUAGACUGAGCACUGCUUCUUUUGAAGAAAAAAACAACACUUUUACUAAAGAACUGCGUUACAGAAACACAGCAGCAAAAGAGUGAACAGAAGGGCAGUUAACGUCUUGCUGAAGGCGAUUGGAGGGUCUGAAGUUGCCGGCUGCUUAUCUCCAAAGGACUCUGGACUUUUUAUAAAGCUGCACAUUCCAGGGCCCCAAAAAAACUCCUGAAAAGAGAGACCGGGACGACUCACGGAGGCAGGGAAAGAGCUAAAAGUCUGUUCUCCUUUACUGGACUGGCUGGACAGAAGUCAGAAAACAGGCUUGAAGUCAGUGUUGCAGGUGACCCAACAGAAGGGGAAAGGGAGAUGGAAGAGCAGGAGCCCAGAAAGACCAG